GGGAACUGAAACAUCUAAGUACCCCGAGGAAAAGAAAUCAACCGAGAUUCCCUAAGUAGCGGCGAGCGAACGGGGACUAGCCCUUAAGCUAGACAACUGGUAGGAGAAGGCUCUGGAAAGUGCCGCCAUAGUGGGUGAUAGCCCCGUAUCCGAAACCUGAGUCUGGUGAAAUCGAGUAGGACGGGACACGUGAUAUCCUGUCUGAACAUGGGGGGACCAUCCUCCAAGGCUAAAUACUCCUGACUGACCGAUAGUGAACCAGUACCGUGAGGGAAAGGUGAAAAGAACCCUAAGUAAGGGAGUGAAAGAGAACCUGAAACCGUGCGCUUACAAGCGGUCGGAGCACAUUUAUGUGUGACGGCGUGCCUUUUGCAUAAUGAGCCUACGAGUUACUGUUGUUAGCGAGGUUAAGGACUUCAGGUCCGGAUCCGUAGCGAAAGCGAGUCUGAAUAGGGCGACCAUAGUUAGCAGUAGUAGACGCGAAACCGUGUGAUCUACCCUUGGGCAGGUUGAAGCUGUGGUAACACAUAGUGGAGGACCGAACCCGUUGACGUUGAAAA
rnacentral:rRNA from 1 species